UCCUGGCUCAGGAUGAACGCUAGCGGGAGGCCUAACACAUGCAAGCCGAGCGGUAGAGAGUAGCUUGCUACUCUUGAGAGCGGCGUACGGGUGCGUAACACGUGUGCAACCUGCCUUUAUCUGGGGGAUAGCCUUUCGAAAGGAAGAUUAAUACUCCAUAAUAUAUUAGAUGGCAUCAUUUAUUAUUGAAAGCUUAUGCGGAUAGAGAUGGGCACGCGCAAGAUUAGUUAGUUGGUGAGGUAACGGCUCACCAAGGCGAUGAUCUUUAGGGGGCCUGAGAGGGUGAUCCCCCACACUGGUACUGAGACACGGACCAGACUCCUACGGGAGGCAGCAGUGAGGAAUAUUGGACAAUGGGUGCAAGCCUGAUCCAGCCAUCCCGCGUGAAGGAUGACUGCCCUAUGGGUUGUAAACUUCUUUUGUAUAGGGAUAAACCUACCCUCGUGAGGGUAGCUGAAGGUACUAUACGAAUAAGCACCGGCUAACUCCGUGCC
rnacentral:rRNA from 1 species